CGCUGGUGUCCUGAGGAGGCAGCAGUGAGCCCAAUCACACAAAUUGAUGCACACUAUAAAACAAACAUGUCAGAAAACACUAAUCAUGGACGUGGAAGUUCUGCAACACUACUACAGUUUGCCUUGUUUUAAUGCUUGUUCAUUUUUAUUUUAUUUUUAGCUAAUGAAACAGUGAACCACUAUUUUAAACACAUUUGAAUUUUAGGGGGGUGUAAAACCGUAACCUUAAAAAUCAACCAUGAAUGGCAACCGAGCCGAGGGUCACGAUAUGAUCUCCAAGCUUAUUUCUAAUUAUGAUUUCAGAUCAUAAGAUUUGUUAACUGAAAAACCAUCGCCCUCUAGUGGGCCGGAGACCAAGGAUGGACGUUAAACAAUGGUGAACGCUAAAAUGGGCAUGUGGGGGAGAUGAAAUGAAGUGAUGAAAGAACGAUGCUAACCAUAUGUCCAAAUUUGGAUAGGUGAGAUGAAAAUUCUGGGGAAGUGAAAUACUGUGGGAAAAUAAGUAAUGUGAUUUUUUUUUUGUGGGGGGCAGAAAUGGUUGUUAGGAAAAAUUUCUAUUUUUUUUCUUAAAGAACACUAACAUUUGUAAUUCGUGAAUAUGUAGCAUUACAACUUUUUUCACACAGUAUUUCACUUUGAUGUUCUGUUCUAUAACAUAAUUUAACAUUGUUUUGUUUUCUCCUUCCUCCGCAAAAUUCACACGAAGAGCUUCCACUUAGAUUUCUUCCAGAAAUAUUUUUUUGUAAUUUUUUUUUUUGUCCUUAACAGGAUCGUUUGUCUUUUUCUUUUUCUUUUUUUUUUUGCGAACCCAACAAAACCUCAUGAAGAGCCGAAAUUACGACAUUGCUCGUCGUGGUAAUUUGACUUCCGAGUGCUGCAGCUUUCAAGUUUUGCAUUGUGAGAACACUUCAGAUGAAAGAAGUGGACAAAUCCGAAUUACUCUCCGCAAAUGAUGAGUGAAGGGGCUACAUGGGGGGGUGUGCGUGCUGCGAGGAGGGCGAGGCCGCGGCGCCGCUGGAUACCAUCGAGGAAGUGGAGGAGGAUAAAGGCUGAGGCGUGGAGGUGAUGGCCGCGGGCACGACGGAGACAGCUGCCGCCGACGAGGAUGAGGACGAGGCCGAAGACGACGUGUCGGUCUUGCUGCUGUGAGUGAUGAAGCGAAGACGGAGCUUCAUGGCCGGCCGAAGGGUGACGAUGAUUUUCUCCACCUGCGCAUUAACACGGAUCAGUGAGAAGCAAGUUAUUGCCUCUCUGCCGAGCUUUAUGUGCUAGGUUUCGUGUAUUUGUUCAAAAGUUUCGACGGCCUUUGGUCAUUUUUGUAAGUGCACAGAAACAGAUCACUUUGAGGAGAGGUCAAGAGAGACAUUUUGCCACUUGUUUUCGACGGAAAAUGACAUCACAGCUGUUCAGGUAAUGACCAUUCACAAGCUGAGCUGUGAUCGGUUGUUACCUGAGCAACUGUGAUGUCAUUUUGAGUGGACGGCAAGUGACAAAAUGGCUGAUCCCCUAAGAUGGAUGAAGCUGCGUAACGCAUAUUCCACAAACGCAACAUGAAUCAGAAUGUCAUUUUAGACAUACAUCGAGCAUAUGUUUGCUUAUUUUUCUGUUGGAGCCGUUUUCAGUGAGAUGUGAUACAUUUGUUGAACAUAUUAAAAGGCUGCUUGCAGUGAAGAGAUUUGGGUGGAGGCGACUUUGGACGCACACAUUGAGGCCCAGGAGAGCCUUUUCAGAUCCACGACUGACGCAUACUGACAGCUGGUGUGGGUUAAUAAGAGGGGAAAUUAAACGGCGAAGCAAAAAAAAAGUCUUGCAUCGCAUACGGCGCAUGAGCUUUCGCAGAACAAGUACGAUGGAGAUCUGUACUCAUUAAAAAAAAUACAUUAAAAAAAUCGAGAGGAGCGAAGGCACUGCAGAGAAGGUUGGGUGAGAUUGUCCUGCAGUCUUCUCUGGUUCUCUUGCUAGCAAAAUGAA